GCCUGGGUGGCUCAGUCGGUUGAGCGUCUGACUUUGGCUCAGGUCACGAUCUCACGGUUCAUGGGUUGAAGCCUCCCAUCAGGCU
rnacentral:tRNA from 1 species